UACGAAGGGGGCUAGCGUUGCUCGGAAUCACUGGGCGUAAAGGGUGCGUAGGCGGGGCUUUAAGUCAGGGGGGAAAUCCUGGAGCUCAACUCCAGAACUGCCUUUGAUACUGAAGAUCUUGAGUCCGGGAGAGGUGAGUGGAACUGCGAGUGUAGAGGUGAAAUUCGUAGAUAUUCGCAAGAACACCAGUGGCGAAGGCGGCUCACUGGCCCGGUACUGACGCUGAGGCACGAAAGCGUGGGGAGCAAACAGG
rnacentral:rRNA from 1 species